rnacentral:lncRNA from 1 species
CGAGAAAUCGUCUCACCCCAGCCAGUGUGACGGAGUGAGAGCAAAAGAAAGUUUUGAUAGCAGCGUACGAUUUAUAUUCAGCUGUAUGCUGGGCAGGUCCAACUUGGCAUUUCUUGGCUGUAUCUCUGAAGGAAAGUCAUCUUAAUCUCUAUGAGCCUCCAUUUCCUCAGCUGUAAAAUGGGAAGAUCUUCCUCACACUGCUGUGAGGAAGCGGAUUUUCUGACGCAUAUGAAGAGUGAGAACUGUCUACAUCUAAGUCUUCUUUGAGAACAAUACCAGCUGAGCGGCUAUUUACAUUCCAGCUUCUUUUGAGAAUCUCUGAAGAUGAUUAAGUCAUUGUCAGCUGGCCCAGAACCAUAUCCUGCUCCACAAGCCUCGUCCUUGGCAAGAAGUUGCACCUGCCCAGAGAGAAAACCUUUUGAAACUGGCACAAAGGCACUGGAGAGACUGGCAGGGCCCCCUACUUGACGAUCUGGCUCAUCCAUCUGCACACUGACCACGCUAAGAGCUGUCUGCAGUGAUGGAAACCUUCUCUAGCUGUGCUGUCCUCUAUAGUGGCACCAGCUGCCUGUGGCUACUGAGCACUUCAACUGUGGCUGCAGAGACUAUGUUAAAUUGUAUUUAAUCAUAAUUAAUUUAAUUGUAAACAACUACAUGUGGCUAGUGGUUUCUGUACUGGGCACUGCAGGUGCACAUUUCCUGCUGGCCAUGGACAGUAAGCUCCAUAAGAGACUAAUUGUGCCUGGUUUGCUUAUAGGCUUAUCCUCAGCACCUGCACCAGCCUAGAAUAUGAUUGGCACUCUAUUAAUUAAAAGUUCCCAGGUAAAUGAAUUAGUGGAUUCUCUGUUUCCUCCACUAUGCCACAACCUCCUUAAGGGCAGAGAUGGUGUCUUCAAAAAAAAAAAAUUCUGGUCAAAAACACAUAAGAUCUACCACCUUCACCAUUGUUGUGUCCAGUUCAGUAGUAUUAACUACACUUACAUUGUGAUACAACAAAAGAUUGUGUCUUUUUACAUUCUUAGGACCCAGCACAGUGUCUGGCACAUAAUCUUAGUAAACACUGGCAGAGCACAUGCCUUUGCCAAGGCCAGAACAGAGGUUCAGUGCCAUCCAUUACCACCCUUUCACACAUCCACUGGGGCUUUAAAAACAACCUGGAAUGAAAGCUGUUGAGUCUAGAGAAAUGGGCUACAAAGAAGGUUUACAAGAUAAUCUAUUAAGAAUAGGGAAUACAGGCCGGGCACGGUGGCUCACACCUGUAAUCCCAGCACUUUGGGAGGCUGAGGUGGGUGGAUCAUUUGAGGUCAGGAGUUCGAGACCAGCCUGGCCAAUGUGGUGAAAUCCUGUCUCUACCAAAAAUUAUCCAGGCAUGGUGGUGCGUGCCUGUAGUCCCAGCUACUUGGGAGGCUGAGGCAUGAGCAUCGCUUGAACCCGGGAGGCAGAGGUUGCAGUGAGCCGAGAUCGCGCCACUACACCCCAGCCUGGGUGACAGAGCAAGACUCCGUCUCAAAAAAAUAAAAAAACCUAAAAUAAAGCUUAAUACACAUGACAUAUGGAUUGGCAGUCACACAUAAAUAUGAUUGAUAAGGAUACAAAUAUUUGGAGGUGCUGCCUGACCAUCUGUUGCUGAUUAUGUGGAGAUCACUUGUCUAGGACCCUGAGAUAGACUGAUGUUUCUAACUCUGCCACACACGGUCUCUCCCACCCUCCAGACACUUUCUUCCUUCAGUUCAGGGAACCCUCAAUACACAGUAAGAAUGAAGAGGUUGCAGGUCUGAGCUUGAGGAGGACUGGACUAAAAGGAGUUUAGCCCUGCCAGGGCAUUCCGAGGACUGUGAAGAUCCGGAAUAUUGGCCACAGGCAUCUAUGUAUUUGAAUCAUAUCCAUUUUUGAGCUCACUCCUAGCAGAGGAGUCAAAACUUACGUUCUGGCCCCCAGGUACAUUUCCAGUCUCUUACUCAUAAAAUUGUGACAUACCCCCAGGGGUGCCCAAAGGGGUUUGUGAAUCAAGAUAGUUUGAGGAGAAUCGAUUUUCUGAUCCUCAGUUUUUCUAUGCUCUUUUUCCUAAAAGCGAUAUUCCUAAAAAGGCAUCCAAGACAAGGCAUCCCCUUUCCCAUUUGCUGGGGAAGACAGCUUUACAAGAGAAAGCUGCCCCUCUCACCCAUGUGACCCCCCACUCUGGGGCACUGCCCUAGGGGUAGAAAUCUCCAAGGCAUCAAACAAAGUGACUCCUGGGGGUCAAGUGACAGAGGAGCAAGUCUUUCUGCAAGUCAAGUGGUUUCCAGCUCUGCUUUCAGCAAAAUUGAAAGAGGCACUAAUCAAAUUGCCAGCGGAUCAUAAAAAAACAUUUUGAUAAUAAUGUUAUUAGGCAUAUAACUUGGAAGAAGUUCAAAGAAUUGAAUGGCAUCCUCAUAACAAACUCAUCGGCUUCCAUUUAUUUAUUUAUGUGGACAGUGUUUCUCAAUGUUUAAACCUACAAAAGACUAAACAUGGGAGUAAACUUCAUGUUGAACCUUGUGUGAGUCUAGCAAUAAGUCAUCCACAUAUACAUACACUAAUUGGGAAGAAAACCUGUCCCAACCCCAACUAUUUUAUUAAGAGAUGCAUUUCCAAUAAAAAUUUACCUUUUAUGUUUAAUAGUUGUUUAUCAAAUUUCGUAAUUAUUUACAUUGCUCUGAUCAAUUGGAUAUAAACUAUUCUAACACUAAACUCAUAACCAAAAAAUUAAUGCUCAGCUUUGGGAACAGAGGAAUUUUUUUUUUUUUUUUUUUUUUUGAGAAGGAGUCUUGCUCUGUUACCCAGGCUGGAGUGCAGAGGCGCAAUUUCA